rnacentral:lncRNA from 1 species
CAAAAAUUGUGGGCAUCUAGGAGAACUGGAGUUGUGAGCAGGUCAGAAGAGAAACUUUGCUGCUUCCUUUGUCAAUGCUGUAUGGAGAGAAAUUUGAGAUGCUUUGGAUAUUAAAAGAAAGACUGGAAGGCAGAAGAUACUGAAUUAACCACACCAAUGAAGAGCGAUGAGGAAUCAGAAACCAGAGAUGGGACAUGGCUAAUAAAUAGUGGAGUGGAGACUCAAUCCUGGGCAAUCUCACCUAAGAGCCCACAUUCUUUCAGGACCCAGCACUUAGUAGGGUUUGCAAGUUCCUUUGAAAGAA